rnacentral:rRNA from 2 species
AAUGGGUCAGCGACUUAUAUUCUGUAGCAAGGUUAACCGAAUAGGGGAGCCGAAGGGAAACCGAGUCUUAACUGGGCGUUAAGUUGCAGGGUAUAGACCCGAAACCCGGUGAUCUAGCCAUGGGCAGGUUGAAGGUUGGGUAACACUAACUGGAGGACCGAACCGACUAAUGUUGAAAAAUUAGCGGAUGACUUGUGGCUGGGGGUGAAAGGCCAAUCAAACCGGGAGAUAGCUGGUUCUCCCCGAAAGCUAUUUAGGUAGCGCCUCGUGAAUUCAUCUCCGGGGGUAGAGCACUGUUUCGGCAAGGGGGUCAUCCCGACUUACCAACCCGAUGCAAACUGCGAAUACCGGAGAAUGUUAUCACGGGAGACACACGGCGGGUGCUAACGUCCGUCGUGAAGAGGGAAACAACCCAGACCGCCAGCUAAGGUCCCAAAGUCAUGGUUAAGUGGGAAACGAUG